UACGUAGGGGGCAAGCGUUGUCCGGAAUCAUUGGGCGUAAAGCGCGUGUAGGCGGCCCGGUAAGUCCGCUGUGAAAGCCCAGGGCUCAACCCUGGGAUGCCGGUGGAUACUGUCGGGCUAGAGUCCGGAAGAGGCGAGUGGAAUUCCUGGUGUAGCGGUGAAAUGCGCAGAUAUCAGGAGGAACACCAAUGGCGAAGGCAGCUCGCUGGGACGUGACUGACGCUGAGACGCGAAAGCGUGGGGAGCAAACGGG
rnacentral:rRNA from 1 species